CUGAGGUGGGCGACCGGCGGCACGGGUGAGUAACACGUAUGCAACCUGCCUGUAAGCGGGGAAGUAACCCGUUGAAAGACGGACUAAUACCGCAUAAUACUAAAUUACUGCAUGGUAAUUUAUUUAAACAUUUAUGGCUUACAGAUGGGCAUGCGCAUGAUUAGCUAGUUGGAGAGGUAACGGCUCCCCAAGGCAACGAUCAUUAGGGGUUCUGAGAGGAAGGUCCCCCACACUGGUACUGAGACACGGACCAGACUCCUACGGGAGGCAGCAGUGAGGAAUAUUGGUCAAUGGACGAGAGUCUGAACCAGCCAAGUCGCGUGCAGGAAGAAUGUUCCCUAUGGAUUGUAAACUGCUUUUGCGAGGGGAAUAAAGUGCAUCACGUGUGAUGUUUUGUAUGUACUCUGCGAAUAAGGAUCGGCUAACUCCGUGCCAGCCGCCGC
rnacentral:rRNA from 1 species